rnacentral:tRNA from 1 species
GGGGAUGUAGCUCAUAAGGUAGAGCGCGCGCUUUGCAUGUGAGAGGUACGGGGAUAGAUACCUUGCAUCUCCA